rnacentral:lncRNA from 1 species
UUUUUGCAUUACCUAUUCCUCUGUGUUGUUCCAAAUAUAAAUAAUAAACAUAAAGAAGAAGAAGAAACAGAGUAAUCAAAUAGAAAUAGAGUGAAAGAUAAAAAAAACUUGAAAGAAACAAAUAAAACAAGAUAUGAAAAGGAAGAGAAAAGAAAAUUGUAGAUGUGCACUUCAAUCAAUGUAUAAUCAUAAAGAAUAAUAAGAAGAAGAAGAAGAAGAAGGAAUAGAAGUUGAGUUUUAGAACAAGGAUGACUGCAAUUGUAGAUCCUGAUGAGUGAUGAAUGAUACUGCUGAUUUGUUUUGGAAAAUUAGAAUACGGCUGCUUAACUUUAUUUUCACUUUUGCAAACUUAGGGUUACUUAUGUGAACAAGUGGGCUUGGGUUGUUAGGUCAAUCAUAUACACAAACCAAAACUACUUUUCUUUUUAAUUUACUACCUAUAAAAAAAAAACUUUUCUUUUUUACUUACCCAAAUAAAAAUAGUAAAUUACAAAAUAUUAUACUAUAACAAGAUUGUCAAAUAAAAUAUAUAUUUUUUAUUUGAUUAUAUAUUUACUUUAUGACAUUUUAUGUUUUUAAUGUGUGAAAUUAGGGAAUAUUGAGUCAUUAUUUAUAUAUUUUUAUUUAUAUAUUAAAUAAAAUAUAUAUUUAAUUAAAAACGGUCCGACCCCGGCUGAACCCGGUCCGACCAGUUGAACCUUGAACCGGUGAGCUCGCCGGUUCGAUGACCGGUCCGGUUCUGACAACCUUGAUUCUAAC